ACUAGAGCUGUACAUGAUUGGGAGAUUGACGAAGUUUCAGCCUUUUACAGUUUUUUAUACUCUCUGAGACUUGGUGGUAAUGAUGAGGACAAGAUGUUGUGGAAGUCUAAGGGGGGUAAAAAGUUUUCUAUUCGUUCGUACUAUAAGCCGUUGACUUCUCAUAAUAGUCCUCAUUUUCCUUGGAAGUGUAUUUGGAGGUCUCACGUGCCUUCCAAAGUUGUUUUCUUCACUUGGGACUACCUCUGUUGGGAAAAUUUUGAUAUUGAAUAAUGUCAAGAUUGGUGCUACAUGUGUAAAAAUAAUGGGGAAACUGUCGAUCAUCUACUCUUGCAUUGUGAGGUGGCAAGGGCUUUAAGGGAUGGGAUGGCAUUUUUUGUAGAACUGGCUUAGCUUGGGUGAUGCGUUCGAGAGUGGUAGAUCUUCUAGCAUGUUGGAAAGGGUUUCAUCAUCUCAUGGGUGCAAACAAUCCUUUGGAACCACACCCUUUGGUGAAAAGCCAGCGAUUUAGCCAGUUCCAUGGAGGGAAACUUCAGAGGGUACAGUGCAUGGGACCGGAAAAAAGGUUUCAUGGUUGCACUCAAGUGGAUGUGGCUUGGAAGAUGGUCCAUUUGUGUCUCAUGUGGUGCAUUUGGAUGGAAAGGAAUUGAGUGGUGCUUUAACGACAAGGUGCAUACUUUGGAGCAACUUUGGAAUUUCUUUGUGCACUCUGCGCUAUUUUGGUUUUCUGCUUUAGUGACUAACGGAUCUUCCGUUCAUGAUUUUUUUAUGUUGCUUUCCGUUUCCUAGAAUUUACGUCAAUGUUUUCUUUUGUAUAUUUCCUGUGUAGAUGGACUUCUCCUAUGCAUUCGUUUCUAAUAAAACUUCUUCCUUAGCAUCCAUAAAAGGGCCUAGACUUUAUCCAUAAGGUUAUAUAGGGGUGCGACUAGCACCAUACAGUGCGGGGUAGCCCCCCUUCCCACCCCCCGGCCCAUGUAUGGUGGGGGGUAGCCCACCUCCCCGCCCCCGCAUCCCAGGGGUGGGGUACCCCACCCUAAGCAUCAGGGGGAUGGGGGCAGGGGCGGACUCCCAAUCCGCCUCGUCCCCAGACCACUUCAAUAAUGGAUUAUAGUUCACUAGGCCCAAAAAUUAUUUUUGGGUUCAAAAUUGAUCAAAAACACAUUUCUUGACCUAAAUUGUAAAUUUAAAUUUGUAAAUAUGAUUAUAAUUUAAAAACUAUGUAGUUUUUAAAUUUGUUAGUGCAUAUUUUGGCAAUACAAGAGUCCCACCCCUAAGGUUAUAUCUAUAGGUAGUUGCGGUUUGUCCUCAGGGUACCAAGCCUUGUCAUCAGUAGCUUUGGCCUGUCCCUUCAUAAGUAAUUUGUUUGGUCCCGGCACUGUGCAAUGUGUAAUUCAUUAUUUUACUCAUUAUUAUACUUGGACAACAUUUUGUAUUCGCACACUUAAUUUAUUAAUAUGUGCGCGUGUAUGUAGUAUACAUAUGAUAGUAUUAAGAAUGAGAUUAAAACUGCCAAUACAACCACAUGCUAUGCAUACAUACCUUGCGUGCGUGUGGAAUUGACUAGGAUUGUGUGCCCCUUCCCUCCCUCCCUCUUUAGUUUUAUUGGUUUACUUCUGUUGUAAUCUUGGACAUUUGAUGGGUUAAGGAAUCUCAUUCUAAGGAUAACUAGGUGAAAGCAGCAUACGAGUUCAAAGCUAUUUUUUAAGAGAAUUGCCUUCUUCAUCAUAUAUUUUAUUGUCUCAAGUCACACUCGCUAUGUGGUCUAUUUUAAGUGGUUGACAUAUAUAACCACUUAAAAUGUGCCACAUCAACAAGCGAUAAAGGAUAACAAGACUUGGGAUGAAGAGUACUGUUAAAUAUUGCCCAAUAAAUUAAAGGCAAAAUUUAGAA